GGGUAGAUCUCCCACCCUUUGUAUACCAUACCUUUGUUGCUUUGGCGGGCCGCCUAGCUACUGGCUUCGGCUGGUAAGUGCCCGCCAGAGGACCCAAAACCCUGAAUAUUAGUGUCGUCUGAGUAAAAUUUUAAUAUUUAAAACUUUCAACAACGGAUCUCUUGGCUCUGGCAUCGAUGAAGAACGCAGCGAAAUGCGAUAAGUAAUGUGAAUUGCAGAAUUCAGUGAAUCAUCGAAUCUUUGAACGCACAUUGCGCCCCUUGGUAUUCCGAGGGGCAUGCCUAUUCGAGCGUCAUUAUCACCCCUCAAGCUUCGGCUUGGUGUUGAGGCCUGCUGUAAAGGCACCCUCUAAAAUCAGUGGCAGUGAUGUCAGGCUCUAAGCGUAGUAAUUUCAUCGCUAUAGGGUCCUGGUGGAUACUCGUCAAAACCCCCUCAUUUUUUAAUGAUUGACCUCGGAUUAGGUAGGGAUACCCGCUGAACUUAAGCAUAUCAAUAA
rnacentral:rRNA from 1 species